GACGAACGCUGGCGGCGUGCCUAACACAUGCAAGUUGAGCGAGAUGCCCAUAACAGAUCCCUUCGGGGUGAAGACUUGGGUAUUCUAGCGGCAAACGGGUGAGUAUCGCGUGAGAAACCUGCCUUUCACAAGGGGAUAGCCUCGGGAAACCGGGAUUAAUACCCUAUGAAACUGUAACACCGCCUGGUGAAUCAGUUAAAGCGUAAAGCGGUGAAAGAUGGUCUCGCGUCCCAUUAGCUAGUUGGUAAGAUAACAGCUUACCAAGGCAACGAUGGGUAACCGGCCUUAGCGGGCGAACGGUCACACUGGAACUGAGACACGGUCCAGACUCCUACGGGAGGCAGCAGUGGGGAAUCUUGCACAAUGGGAGGGAACUCCGAUGCAGCGACGCCGCGUGAACGAUGAAGGUUUUCGAUCGUAAGUUCUG
rnacentral:rRNA from 2 species